rnacentral:rRNA from 1 species
GACGAACGCUGGCGGCGUGCUUAACACAUGCAAGUCGAACGGUAAGGCUCCAGCUUGCUGGGGUACACGAGUGGCGAACGGGUGAGUAACACGUGGGUGACCUGCCCUGCACUUCGGGAUAAGCCUGGGAAACUGGGUCUAAUACCGGAUAGGACCGCACCGUGAGGGUGUGGUGGAAAGUUUUUUCGGUGUGGGAUGGGCCCGCGGCCUAUCAGCUUGUUGGUGGGGUAAUGGCCUACCAAGGCGGCGACGGGUAGCCGGCCUGAGAGGGUGGACGGCCACAUUGGGACUGAGACACGCCCCAGACUCCUACGGGAGGCAGCAGUGGGGAAUAUUGCACAAUGGGCGGAAGCCUGAUGCAGCGACGCCGCGUGGGGGAUGACGGCCUUCGGGUUGUAAACUCCUUUCACCAUCGACGAAGGGUUUCUGACGGUAGAUGGAGAAGAAGCACCGGCUAACUACGUGCCAGCAGCCGCGGUAAUACGUAGGGUGCGAGCGUUGUCCGGAAUUACUGGGCGUAAAGAGCUCGUAGGUGGUUUGUCGCGUCGUCUGUGAAAUUCCGGGGCUUAACUCCGGGCGUGCAGGCGAUACGGGCAUAACUUGAGUACUGUAGGGGAGACUGGAAUUCCUGGUGUAGCGGUGAAAUGCGCAAUAUCAGGAGGAACACCGGUGGCGAAGGCGGGUCUCUGUGCAGUAACUGACGCUGAGGAGCGAAAGCAUGGGGGAGCGAACAGG